rnacentral:tRNA from 1 species
GGAGUUGUGGCUCAGUGGUAGAGGGCUCGCCUAGCGUGUGUGAAGCACUGAGUUUGAUUCUCAGCACCA